CGAGGGCCCUUAACCCUUCCCUGGUGGAAACAGCAACUCACACACACCCAUUAAUUCAAUAUCUCAACAGCCCCAAGUUUACAAUGUGAAGAAGCUACUGGGUUUUGUCUUCCAACAAGAGGAUGUGGGGUCCAGAACGCAACGAACCCAGGGGAGCACCCCGCACGGCAGGUGACAAGGAGAGCUCCUUGCAGCCGGCUUGGGGGCAGCUCCUUCGCACCAGGGGACACCUCCUCGCCAACUGGGCUGCCGAUGGCCCGGUGAGGUUAACCGCUCCGAGAGGAACUGCCUAGCUCCCCCUGGAAGGUCGGGCGCAGAAUGCGCCCCAUUUCUGUGGUGUUGAUGGGAUGUACUCCGGAGCCCACCCUUCCCUCCAGAUGGCAGUCCAGCCAUGGCAGGAGCCCCAGGCCACCCUGUGUCUCCCAUGCCAAACUGCCUGCAUCCCGGGAACCUGCUGCUCAGAACCUUUCAGUGAGCGGGCGGGAUGCUGGCCCAGAGCCCCUGGAGCCC